AGAGUUGAUCCUGGCUCAGGACGAACGCUGGCGGCGUGCCUAAUACAUGCAAGUCGAGCGGACUAAUGGGAGCUUGCUCCCAUUAGUUAGCGGCGGACGGGUGAGUAACACGUGGGCAACCUGCCCUGUAGACUGGGAUAACACCGAGAAAUCGGUGCUAAUACCGGGUAAUAGAUUGGAUCGCAUGAUCCAAUCAUAAAAGAUGGCUUCGGCUAUCACUACAGGAUGGGCCCGCGGCGCAUUAGCUAGUUGGUAAGGUAAUGGCUUACCAAGGCGACGAUGCGUAGCCGACCUGAGAGGGGUGAUCGGCCACACUGGGACUGAGACACGGCCCAGACUCCUACGGGAGGCAGCAGUAGGGAAUCUUCCGCAAUGGACGAAAGUCUGACGGAGCAACGCCGCGUGAGUGAUGAAGGGUUUCGGCUCGUAAAGCUCUGUUGUUAGGGAAGAACAAGUACCGUUCAAAUAGGGCGGUACCUUGACGGUACCUAACCAGAAAGCCACGGCUAACUACGUGCCAGCAGCCGCGGUAAUACGUAGGUGGCAAGCGUUGUCCGGAAAUUAUUGGGCGUAAAGCGCGCGCAGGCGGUCUCUUAAGUCUGAUGUGAAAAGCCCCCGGCUCAACCGGGGAGGGUCAUUGGAAACUGGGGAGACUUGAGUACAGAAGAGGAGAGUUGGAAUUCCACGUGUAGCGGUGAAAUGCGUAGAUNUGUGGAGGAACACCAGUGGCGAAGGCGACUCUCUGGUCUGUAACUGACGCUGAGGCGCGAAAAGCGUGGGGAGCAAACAGGAUUAGAUACCCUGGUAGUUCCAACGCCGUAAACUNGAAGUGCUAAGUUGUUAAGGGUUUUGAAUGCCCUUAGUGCCGAAGUUAACACAUUAAGCACUCCGCCUGGGGAGUACGACCGCAAGGUUGAAACUCAAAAGGAAUUGACGGGGGCCCGCACAAGCAGUGGAGCAUGUGGUUUAAUUCGAAGCAACGCGAAGAACCUUACCAGGUCUUGACAUCCUUUGACAACCCUAGAGAUAGGGCUUUCCCCUUCGGGGGACAAAGUGACAGGUGGUGCAUGGUUGUCGUCAGCUCGUGUCGUGAGAUGUUGGGUUAAGUCCCGCAACGAGCGCAACCCUUGAUCUUAGUUGCCAGCAUUCAGUUGGGCACUCUAAGGUGACUGCCGGUGAUAAAACCGGAGGAAGGUGGGGACGACGUCAAAUCAUCAUGCCCCUUAUGACCUGGGCUACACACGUGCUACAAUGGAUGGUACAAAGAGCAGCGAAACCGCGAGGUCGAGCCAAUCUCAUAAAGCCAUUCUCAGUUCGGAUUGUAGGCUGCAACUCGCCUACAUGAAGCCGGAAUUGCUAGUAAUCGCGGAUCAGCAUG
rnacentral:rRNA from 1 species